rnacentral:lncRNA from 1 species
AAAACAGAUACAAACAGGAGUAAGCAAACAAAAAGAAACAGGACAAAUCUGAUUUAUAUAAGAACUUGUAAUAAACUAAUUCCAAAAGGUCAUUAUUUUCAAGACUAUUUUAAUUUUAGCAUCUUCCAACUAGAAACCUCCAAAAUCGCUAUUUCAUACAUAAAUAGAAAAGAAAGACAAAUGGAGAAGUCAAUGUCUUUUAACAGGUUGAGUAUCAUUGUAAAAAUCACACCAUAAAAGAACAUAGAAUCCACGAAAGCCAACCAUUUGAGCAACAAAAAUAUUCAACCCAUGAACAGAUAUAUGGAAAUUCCCAGCAACACGUUGGACAUCCAAAACACCAUAGACCUGCAAUAAACAAUACAAUUACCAUUGCUUAUUUAGUCCAAGUGGUAUAACAGUAUGAAUCUCCAAACCUUUUUCCUAAUCUUACCAUUGCUUAUUUAGUCCAAGUGGUAUAGCGGUAUGAAUCUCCAAACCUUUUUCCUAAUCUUAUUUCUGAGGCAUAAAGGAAAAAGAGAGAAGAAUAACAAAUAAAUAAUAAGCAAAAAAUGAAAGAGGCACAUACUCAUGGUAUAUAUAAGGUAAAUUUUAUUUUUAUUUUUAUAUAUUAUAUUCUGAAUCCCCUUAACAUAGCUCAAAAGCAUAGCUCAAUGGUCAAGGUGGUUCAAAACCUUUGUGAGGUUGAUAGUUUAAUUCCUACUAGGCACAACAUCUUUCAAUUUUAUAACUUUUUACUUGUUUGAACCUGUUAACAGAAAUUCUGCCUCCGCCACUUAUUGCAAGAUAAGUCUUUUAUCUUUUAUUUUUAUGCUACAGAGAUAAGAUUCUCAGUGGCGGACUAUAUGUCGCCAUUUGAGUAGCGACAUAACUUAAAUUUAUUUGUAAUGCAUUUGUUAACUUUUUGCAGCAAUAUGACAUAUAAGUGUCAACUUACCAACCUCUGGUUAAUAUUCCAAAAAUCUGCAGUGGUUAAAAACAUAUACAAACAGGAGUAAGCAAAAAAAAAGAAACAGGACAAAUCUGAUUUAUAUAAGAACUUCUAAUAAACUAAUUCCAAAAGGUCAUUAUUUUCAAGACUAUUUUAAUUUUAGCAUCUUCCAACUAGAAACCUCCAAAGAUCGCUGUUUCAUACAUAAAUAGAAAAGAAAGACAAAUGGAGAAGUCAAUGUCUUUUAACAGGUUGAGUAUCAUUGUAAAAAUCACACCAUAAAAGAACAUAGAAUCCACGAAAGCCAACCAUUUGAGCAACAAAAAUAUUCAACCCAUGAACAGAUAUAUGGAAAUUCCCAGCAACACGUUGGACAUCCAAAACACCAUAGACCUGCAAUAAACAAUACAAUUA